UCCUACCACUAGAGCCCUUGCAGGUGUGGCUAUGUCACCUGUAACCAUCAGUAGGAGGCAGAGAGGAGCAAGCCUAUGUCUACAGUGCUCUGACCUGCGAACAUCUGAACGAUUGAUUAGUAGUAGCCUU
rnacentral:snoRNA from 1 species